AUUGAACGCUGGCGGCAUGCCUUACACAUGCAAGUCGAACGGUAACAGGUCUUCGGAUGCUGACGAGUGGCGAACGGGUGAGUAAUACAUCGGAACGUGCCCGAGAGUGGGGGAUAACGAGGCGAAAGCUUUGCUAAUACCGCAUACGAUCUCAGGAUGAAAGCAGGGGACCGCAAGGCCUUGCGCUCACGGAGCGGCCGAUGGCAGAUUAGGUAGUUGGUGGGAUAAAAGCUUACCAAGCCGACGAUCUGUAGCUGGUCUGGGAGGACGACCAGCCACACUGGGACUGAGACACGGCCCAGACUCCUGCGGGAGGCAGCAGUGGGGAAUUUUGGACAAUGGGCGCAAGCCUGAUCCAGCCAUGCCGCGUGCAGGAUGAAGGCCUUCGGGUUGUAAACUGCUUUUGUACGGAACGAAAAGACUCUGGUUAAUACCUGGGGUCCAUGACGGUACCGUAAGAAUAAGCACCGGCUAACUACGUGCCAGCCGCCGCCGUAAUAC
rnacentral:rRNA from 1 species